rnacentral:lncRNA from 1 species
CCUUAUUAGUUGGUUCCCCAUAAACUGGAAGAUACCUUAUUUACUCGAAUGUAAUGCACACCUGUUUUGGCCGAAUUAUGUCAUGAAAAUUAGGGUGUGCAUUAGAUUUGAUAGUGUGUUAGUUUCGAUUAUUGAAACACACCGCUGACAUACCAAAUACUUUUUGGGUUUCAAAGUUUUGAAAACCGAGGCGUGCAUUAGAUUCACGUAAAUACGAUAACUCCUGGAGAAAAUUAAAAGAAGAGAAUCCACAGAACUUGAAGGCAAUCCGUGAGAGUUCUGGUGCCUUUUGGAUCUCAGUUUCCUUUUGCCUUGUGCAUAGAAAAUCUUCCCCUGUCAGACUUAAAUGAAUGAGGAGGAAAUAACCUUCUGGGAAAUGAAGCUUCCAAGCUAGAAUAGAAACUUAGGAAAAUCACCUUCUCCCAGGAAGGAGACUGGCACAUUAGAAAGUGUCUCUCACACAACAGUGAGAGGGGAAACAGGCGAUCCCGCAGGGUUAUUAGCGUGGAACUUGCCAAAAUAAAUGGAGCAGAGAAGGCAAGAUCACUCUUGACUCAAGCAAAACUUUAUAGACGCCAGCAGUGAUGUUACAUGAUGCUCCUGUUGAGCCAAUUUAUUGGGAGCAGUGGCUCUGCAGGAAUGCUCUGUCAUCCUCCACAACACGGCGUCCCUCAUACUCUGAGGUGGGGCAGAAUGAAGUUGUUGCCCAGAAGAGCGUCCCUGUUGAAAAAGAAACCAACUGCUGGAGUUAAAGGUCAAGCGGUGUCGCAACAGCUGGGAUUCCAGAAGUUGGCCAACAGCCUUCUGUCUCCUACCUAGGCAGGGCUGAAGGCAAGCCCUUCCAUUGAGACCAUUGUCACUGGAAGCCCCUUCAGUCUACUGCAAGGCGGUUCUUUAGAGGGCAGAGACUGUUCCGCCCUGAAACCUUUACAUUUCCACAGCGUAGGUGUUAUGUACUGAGCUGAAUCCUAGAACAAUAGGAUCCAGAAUGCAGCAGUCUGAUUGGUCUGCAGGAGCCACCCAAUCCAGCUCCAGGUGGAAGUGAAUCAGCGACCUGAUUGGCCUGCAGGAGCAGCCAAUCAGGCUCCUGGAUGAAGUGAAUCAGCAACCUGAUUAGUCUGCAGGAGCAGCCAAUCAGGCUUCUGGAGGAAGUGAAUGCACAACCUGAUUGGCCUACAGGAGCAGCCCGGAAGUAGCCAAUCACACGGGGCCCAUUGUGUAAACAAUGUAUAUAUAGCUAGAUGUUUUGGGGAAAGUUUCAUUCAUUGCUACUACGAGCUGGAUAAAGAACAUGAAAUUCACACUCGACUCUGAGUAUAUUUCAGUAACGAUUGCAUAGAAAUAGUGUAACAAUUGAAGCCGUGUAUUUCCAUAGUUACAGGUCGUUACAGGUAGGUAGCCAUGUUGGUGUGCCAUAGUCAAAACAAAAUAAAAAAUUCCUUCCAGUAGCACCUUAGAGACCAACUAAGUUUGUUCUUGGUAUGAGCUUUUGUGUCCAUGCACACUUCUUCAGAUACACUGAAACAGAAGUCACCAGACCCUUAAAUAUAGUGAAAGGGUGGGGAGAAGUAUUACUCAGAAGGGGGGUGGGAAUGGGUGAUUGGCUGAUAGGUGUGGUAAACUUGUUAACGACUGCAAUUGGUCUUACAGGAAAAAGCAAGGGGUGAGAUGGCUAAAAAUAGCUUUAUCAUGUAUAAUGAGAUAAGAAUCUAAUGUCUCUAUUCAGACCAGGUCUCUCCAUGGCUUUAAGUUUGGUAAUAAGUUACAAUUCAGCAACUUCUCUUUCCAGUCUUUUUCUGAAAUUCUUUUGUAAUAAGACAGCUACUUUGAGAUCUUGCAUAGAAUGUCCUGGGAGAUUGAAGUGUUCUCCUACUGGUUUCUCUGUCUUGUAAUUCCUGAUGCGAGAUUUACCGGUAUGUCCAUUUAUCCUUUGGCGUAGGGUUUGGCCUGUUUGUCCAAUAUAGAGGGCUGAAGGGCACUGUUGGCAUUUGAUGGCAUACACAAUGUUAGGAGAUUAAAUAGUCCUGAGAUGGUAUGUUGGUGUUGUUGGGGCCAGUAAUGGUGUUGUCCGGGUGUAUGUGGCAGCAAAGUUGGCAUCUGGGUUUAUUGCAGGCUCUGGUACCAGUGUCCAUGUUAUGUCUGUAUUGUUGUAUUAUUGUGGGUGAGGAGUUGUUUAAGAUUGGGUUCCCACCACCCUUCUGAGUAAUACCCCUCCCCACCCUCUCACUAUAUAUAAGGGUCUGGUGACUUCUGUUUCAGUGUAUCUGAAGAAGUGUGCAUGCACACGAAAGCUCAUACCAAUAACAAACUUAGUUGGUCUCUAAGGUGCUACUAACUUGGGACGUGGGUGGCACUGUGGGUUAAACCACAGAACCUAGGACUUGCCGAUCAGAAGGUCGGUGGUUCGAAUCCCCGCAACAGGGUGAGCUCUCGUUGCUCGGUCCCUGCUCCUGCCCACCUAGCAGUUCGAAAGCACGUCAAAGUACAAGUAGAUAAAUAGGUACCGUUCCAGCGGGAAGGUAAACAGAUUUUCCGUGCCCUGCUCUGGUUCGCCAGAAGUGGCUUAGUCAUGCUGGCCACAUGACCCGGAAGCUGUACGCCGGCUCCUUUGGCCAAUAAAGCGAGAUGAGUGCCGAAACCCCAGAGUCGGUCACGACUAGACCUAAUGGUCAGGGGUCCCUUUACCCUUUAGCUGUUAAGGUACUACUGGAAGGAAUUUUUUUAUUUCCAUAGUGUUACCAUUAGGAGGGGCAAAGUAUGGUAAGAUGCCAUCGAUCUGUGACAUCGAUCUGUCUCCUGAUGUUUUCCACUGUUAGUUAAAUGUGGGGUGACUCAAACUGGAUCACGGAAGAGGUGCCUUUUUUUAUUUUAGCGUGUACACGCACACGCAAACACAUGCUUCCCUUGCCAUGCAAUUUCCCCCAAUUUGAAUUCCUCUUCUGAAGUUAUUUGCAAAAAAUGAAUAAACACAUCACCCACUCAGACACCAUUCCCAGCUGCAGGUUUGCUACUCCCAACAGCUGGAUUACAGCCUAUUGAUUUCUGUUGAGACAGACUGACUGGAACCCCUUCAUAAUCCUAGUUCUUCCUGUCAACCUGUGUUGGCAGGGCUCUCCAAGGUCAGAUCGUAGUGAGGGUGCGUGUGGUGGAAUGCUCUUCCAUAAUUGCCCCUGUCCUUUUGCAAAGAAAACUAGGAUUUCUAGGAGAUGGGUUCUAGCUUGUCUUCUCCCACUGACACACUGGUUUUCUACGUGCAAGCAUGUUUUAUUUUUAAAGAUCAUUUUCAUUCAGAUUACCAGAAUGAGGAGCAUUAAAUUAUGUGAACCACCUGAUGCAUUGCAGGCAAGGCGACACAGAUUUACCACUUCAUGAGAACUAGGCCACCGUGACAAUCCUGUCAGAGGUCUAAAAAUAAAAAGGGGCUACACAUGUCAGAAUCAUUCUAACUGGUUUCAUAGGCGUUCCGUUUAGAAUUCAUGACUGAGACGUUCUGAUUUAGAGGCCCUUAUAUGCAACUUCCUUUAAAAAACCGCUUUGUCAUCCGAAAGAGCUGAUAUAUAACUCUGGUGGUGAUGAUGAGGAAGUCAAGUGGCUGAGAAUGCUGAUAGCAAGGGACUUUUUACAAACCCAGCUGUUCUGCAUUAGCUGGGAGAUUAGAUGUCAGCCUGAGCUCUUAGUGUCAUCAGCCCAGUCCUGUGAAAUAUUUUAUUUCAUCUCUGUUGUGAGAAUUAUAAGGUCUAAGAUAUAAAAUAAAUGUACCAGGCAAACACAUACAUAAAUACAUAAAUCGCAUGUCUGAAACAGUACAGGAAAAAAGUCCUGAAACCAUUUUGUCUCUCCCAAAUUGACCUCAAAUGUUUCUCUGCAAGAACAAAUGGGGAAACCUCCCUAUUGUCUCUUUGCUCACAAAUCCUGUCUUAAGGGCCUAUCUGUGCAUGAAUAGGGUAAGCCCGUGACCUGGACGCAGGAAUUAAGUAUUUAUUGUCACAAAAGAAUGGCCAGGCUCUCCAGGUAAACCCAUCAACAGGUUUCCUGCCAGACAGGAUUUCUGCUGUAGACUGCCCCUUCAGUGAUGUAUGCAUGUUGUAUUGGGGGGUGGUCUUGGGCUCCAGGGUGGGCAAUUUCAAAAGUUUAUAUAAGGGCUUGCACAAUUGUUCUGGGUCACCUCCUCCCUCCCUGCGUGGGGUGCGUGGGGACCCUGUUGCAACAAUUUAAUAAAGAUCAGGCUUACUAGCUGCUUUGCUUCUCAAUACAGUGGUACCUCGGGUUACAUACGCUUCAGGUUACAGACGCUUCAAGUUACAGACUCCGCUAACCCAGAAAUAGUACCUCGGGUUAAGAACUUUGCUUCAGGAUGAGAACAGAAAUCGUGCUCCGGCAGCGCGGCAGCAGCAGGAGGCCCCAUUAGCUAAAGUGGUGCUUCAGGUUAAGAACAGUUUCAGGUUAAGAAUGGACCUCCGGAAUGAAUUAAGUACGUAACCAGAGGUACCACUGUAUGUCCUUAUGGUGGGAUUUCCUCCCUUACAGCUUUUCAGAAAGGGAAACAGAAGACUGGUGACUGGGAGUGGCCGCCAGGACCACAUAACACUGGUCCUGAGAGAUCUGCAUUGGCUCCCAGUACGUUUCCGAGCACAAUUCAAAGUGUUGGUGUUGACCUUUAAAGCCCUAAACGGCCUCGGUCCAGUAUACCUGAUCUCUGAUCUCGUUUUUUGACAGAAUUACAACCCUGGUAGAUGAAGGGAACGCAGUGGAUGUAGCCUACCUUGAUUUCAGCAAGGCAUUUGACAAGGUGCCCCAUGAUAUUCUUGUAAAGAAGCUGGUAAAAUGCGGACUUGACUAUGCUACCACUCAGUGGAUUUGUAACUGGCUGACUGACAGAACCCAAAGGGUGCUCAUCAAUGGUUCCUCUUCAUCCUGGAGAAGAGUGACUAGUGGGGUGCCACAGGGUUCUGUCUUGGGCCCGGUCUUAUUCAACAUCUUUAUCAACGACUUGGAUGAUGGACUCAAGGGCAUCCUGAUCAAAUUUGCAGAUGACACCAAACUGGGAGGGGUGGCUAACACCCCAGAGGACAGGAUCACACUUCAAAACGACCUUGACAGAUUAGAGA